UGUUGUAGCCAUACCACCUUGAACACAACUGAUCUUGUCUGAUCUCAGAAGCUAAGCAGGGUUGGCUCUGGUUAGUACUUAGAUAGGAGAAUAUAAAUCAAUAGGUUUAUAAUUU
ensembl:rRNA 5S_rRNA 5S ribosomal RNA